GCAAAAUGCUCAGUGUCCAACUAGUUCCAUAAAGGAUGAUAGGGCCAGCCCACACAAUCUCCUGGGUCUUUUUUAGACCUCACGUGGCACGAUCCAUCCAUCUGGAGAGCUGCUGCUUGUGGAAUCCAGGAUGCCCAAGCUGACCUCACCUCUAGCCAUGAUUCCACCCCUUCUGUGCUAACCCAGAGGGUAACCACAUUCAUGCCCAGAAGACGACAUAGGAUUUUUUUUUUUUUCAGUGUGACCCUGAGCUAGAUCUAGAUGUGCACCACCUGAUCUCCCUUCAGAGAAGGACAAGCUGCCCAACUGCUAGGCAGCCCACGUACCAUGACAGAGCGGGGAGGAAACAAAGGCUUGGCCAUUUGGGCCCGACUUAGGACAAAGCAGAUGGGUAGCACUUGCCUCACAGCUCCCGCCAGGAGGCACGGCAGUUCAGCCUCUGCGCCAACCCACCUCCCUUCUCUUGCAGAGGUGCUGAUCCCUAAUGCACAUCUCUUACCCCCAUCCCACAUCUCAGAGUCUGCUUCCAGAGACCCUAACCUGGAGUAGAUGUCCUUCAGAGGUGUCCUGACUGGAGACACCCAGUGUUUCGUGUUUUCACAAUAUUUGAGACCCUUAUAGCUGCUGCUGGGAAAUUAGGCAUUUCUACCUGACACGUGCCUGCCACAGAAACCACUGCUUUCCCCCCAUGUUGGAGAUGUCCACUAGGUGUCACAUCACAAGUUAUCAAGAAUUGAGUCUUUACUGCUGGGAUCUGUUCAGCUUGUUGAUCCUGGACACCUUUCUCUGGAAAUGAGCAGAGAAGCCCUGUCUGCGGUGUUAUGCACAGCUCUAUGAUGUGGGAUGGUUGGAGUUCAUCAGAGUCCUGAGACAUUGGCUACACGAGACUUAUGUGAGAACCUUCUUGCUAUGCCUUUAUGCCUGAAGCCCGAUCUACUUCUGAUUAACCUCUACCCUGAAGUCAGCAGCUUCUGAGAAUCCAGGUGUUGAGCUGAGGUAGCUGGCAAUAGGUGGGGGAAAGUUGGCUUUCAAUAUUGUCCUCUCCUUGGGCAGACAUUCCAGAACAAGCCCCAUCCUAUCACACUAUAGCAAAUAGAGAUAAAACACUCCAGCCCAAGGAAGAAAACAUUUAAAUGCCAAUAAAAUGAAGCUACAAGACUACUGAGAUUAAAUUGUAAUGUACAGUGCUCUGGCAUAAAUAAUAGCAGCUCAUAGUUUUGAGUAUUUCCUGCGUUGGGCACUGUGCUGUGAAACACAUAAACAUUGUCUCAUUUAAUCCUCACCAUGACCCUGUUAGGUAGAUAUCAUGAUAGUCCCCACUUUCCAGAUGAGAAAGUAAAGUCUUUAGAGAUGCAUAACAAUCAGAGGAAGCCAGAUAAGGAUGAUCCAGGGAAUGGUGAACUGCUUUGGGGGUCUUGUAGGUCUGGAGAAACUUGGCUGAGGGACACCCUAACCCAGUCUGGGAAGUGUUUCCUAGGUAGAGACAGGAAGGACAAGCUGCAGGAAGAAUGGGGUCAGAGAAGGUCGGGGAAACAAUAUAAUGGAGUAGUCACAGAAUUAUACUGCAGCUCAGGGCUGCUGUGUAUAUCGAUGGGCAGGGACAGGAGUGUAUCACAAGAGGUGGCCCUGGAGAGGUCAGCAGAGAAUGGAUUUUGGAGGGCCUUGAACAUGGUCUGGAGGGCAGUCGGGAUAGGAAGGAAAUUGAACAGCAGGAGGAUGGCAAAGGCAGAUUUCUGCUUUAGACAUACCCCUCUGGUAGCCUUAUAGGGGAAGAGGGCCAGGGUUGGAUGCUACACACCAGAGAAGAAGAGGAUCUCAGCCCAGGUAGCCUGAGGUAGGUAGCAAGGGGGAAAGAUGAGACAUAUCUAGUUGACAUUGUCAGAGUUUAGUAUGCGAUGUGGUGGGUGGAGUGGGGGUGGAGAGAACAAAAGGGUGUUAAGGAAAACAUCCCAGCUGAGAAAGGAAGACAAGAUUGAAGGAGGAGAAUGCAUUCCAUUUGAACAAGUUGAUUCUGAGGAGCCUGAUGACGUCUCGGUGGAGACAUUCCACAGGCAGCAGAUUCUCCAAGGCCUAGGAUGUGGUUGUCCCCACUCUAGGCAUUUGAGGCUCACCAGCUCAGGGCCUCAUGGUGAGAGAGUUUCUCAGCUGGGUCUCUGCCUUCAGAGUCCCUGCAAUUUCCAAGAUUCCUCAGAGAAUCUUUCUCCCACAUGAGAAGGCUGCAUCAUCCAGGAGCCUUCUCCUACAGCUCAGAAAAGAAGCAAGCCUCCAGAUCUGAGAUCCCUGGAGACACACAUCCUUCUGAUGGGAGGAUGGAAGAUUUAGUACCCAAGGCCAGUGCCAAAGCCUUUUUCGUGGAAAGCACUGGGUCUGGCUUUGACUCAGAAACCCUCCGUCUCUGUCAACCCCCUCUGGAAUCUAUCAGAUUAGGGGAGCUGAAGGAAUUGAAUCAAUGCCCAGCUCAAUCUUUUUUUUAAAACCUGACUGGCACAUUCCCUGCAUGAGCUGACUGUCACAUGUUGGGCAGAUUAUCUCCAUUUCGUUACUUACUGUUCUUUUAUAGAAUAAAAGACUGACUUGGACAGUCAAGUUACUUAGGAAAGUGGCCCCUAAAGCUAGAUGAUUGGGAAGCUUCUUGGGGGCUGGGUGAGGGGGAAUGGAGGCAUUGGCUAGGAAAUGAGAAGAUUUAGGAUUUAAUCUCAGUUCUGUUGCUAAUAAGCAGUGUGACUUUGGGUUAGUUUCUAUGGUUUCAGUCUCCUUUUCUGUAAAAGGGCAUGGGGUUCUCUACCUUCAGUAUGUGUAAGAAUCACCUGGGGGCGGGGCUUGCUAAAUCAGAGAUUGCUGGGCCCCAUCCCAGGAUUUGAUUCAAUAGGUCUCUGGUGGGACCCAAAAUUUACAUUUCCAGCAAAUUCCCAGGUGAUUCUGCUGCGCUGGGGACCCCACUGUGAGAACAACUUAUUUGACCAACUAAAUCCUUGCUAAUCAAUAUAUCGUGCUCAGACCAACAUCUUCAACAUCACCUGGAAGCCUCUUAGAAACAAAGUCUGGAGCCCUACUCAGUCUUGCUGAAUUAGAAUCUGCAUGAAAACAAGAUUCCCAGGUGAUUCUUCUGCACAUUAAGAUUUGAGAAACAUGGCUGUACAUUCAUUUUGAUUUUGUAGCGAACAUAUUCUCCUUUUCUCUUUCUACACACACAUGCACCCACCCACUCACCUAUAUAUAGACACAGAGAAUUUAUCUCCUCUUAAUUUGCAAGGCAGAUUGUGGUUUUCCUAAUGCUUUCACUCUACAUAUGUGUAUAUGUAAUCUCUUAGCUAGAGAAGAUAUCUUCAUUUAUGCGUUAUUAUAUGUCGGAUCGUAAAAACAGGAUCAGGGUGUUACUGAUCAAAGAAACCUUAGAGAUCCAGUGGGGCAUCUACGAAGGAGAGAAAUGGAUGGAGAUACACUUGAUGAAGUAUAACUUCAGUUCUUACAACAUACAAAAUUGUCGACACCCAAAUGCCUUGAGAAGGACAUCCCAGGACUUUCUAUUGUACAUUUUCGGAGUUAAAAUAUGAAUUCCUUUAGGCUGUGGACAUUAACAGAAAUAACCUAAACCAGCCGUUAAAGGCAAAAUACCAUCACAGACUUGGGCGGGCUAGUCGCAGGUUCCUGUUUGACUGCUUGGGGUGGAAGGCAUUCUUAAAAUAGCGAAGGUAAGGCUACAAUGCCUCCAGUUUUCAAAACGCAUGUGUCCCUACAUUCUUUUUAGAGAUUGUUGCAUAGCCCUAAGUCAUUCACAUUUAAGGUGGUGAGCUCUUAGGGUGGCAGUUUACGAAGAGCCUGUAUAAUCACACUCACGGCCUGUCAAGUAAAUAACGUAAGCUUCUGUUUCUUCCUGAGUCCUGUCUACGCUGGUUCUCUCUCCCCCAGAACGGAAUGAUUCUCAUCUCUUGAAUCCAGCAGGGCUUCCUGGGGAGCAGGACGAUGCACCUGGUGCCCGCAGCGAUGCAGCGGCGAGAGAGCUCGACUCAACUGGCCUCCAGCAGGUCGACCGUUUUAUUUAGUUUCAGCGAGCCGAAUGGGGCCCUGGUGCGGGAAGGUGAGGGUUCUGGGGGUUCCUCACCAGCAGUCCCUUCACAGAGCCAGGAGCCUGGGCCAUCCGGCCAAAGAUGCCACCUGCCCUGGGGCCUGACAUGGUCGGCUGCAGGACAGGCUAUUUGAAAUGGAGACAGGUCUAGAAAUCAGGGUCUUACAGUCUUUGCACUAAGCAGACUCUCGUUCUCGCGGAGGGAGAGCUAGGGAGAGGACUUGGGGCCCACCUAAUUCCCAGGUUUAAAAAAAAAAAAAAAACUGAUGGCAAGACAGAGCUGGCACAGCUCCACGUGCUCACAUUUACCCCACCUCGCAGAAUGCCUGUGGCAGGUGCAGCUGGGAGAUGAACGUCCACUAUGUGUGGUUCGCUAAGUGGGAAUUCCAGAAAACCAGACAGAAUGCUAAGAGCUAAGGUGUUUCCAGUAAUGAUCACCUGCUGAAUGGGUAUUUUGGGAAGUACAUUAAGAGGAAAUCUCCCUUUUGUCAAGACCCACCAAAAUAGGCCUUACAGGUUAAAAUAUACAUACUUAGAUAUUGAAAUAGAUUAAAUGCAAAAACUUGAGACAAAUAAUACUAUAUUUUAUCUUAAUACUGGGAGUGAUGAAGGGAAUCCUAGCAGGUUUUGGCUCAUAUUAUGCAUAUUUUUAUACAUAUCCAGGACAUUGAGGUCAUUCAUUCUGAAUUUCUUUACUCCUUUGAAGCUGCUUAGAAUCCCCAGUAGUACACCGCAGCUUCUCUGAGGCUUGCAUUUACUCAUUCGCUUGCUCCUUCAACAGAUGCCCUUCGAGGGCAUGUUUUGUACCGGGUGCUGGGUGCAUCUGUGAGUUAGGUGGACCCAUCUCAGUUCUCAUUCUCUGGCCUUUGGUGGAUCUCCCUCACUUGUCCACAUAGAACAAUUGUGUGGCUUUUGGAGGAUCCUGAAGCAAAUAAGACUAAAUUUUUUAAAUAUUAGGGUGACAUUUCAAUUUAGUGGAGAAAAAUUGAAUCCUUAAUAACUCCUGCUAGAAUAAAUGGCAAGUGACUGGGAGAAAUGGAUCUGUGUUCACACUUCUCACACCUAAAUAAAUACCAGACAGAUCAAAGAUACAUGUUAAAAACAAAAAACAAACACAAGAGUUGCAUGUGGCUCAAUAUAACAUUUGUUACACGUGAUGGGGAAUUAUCCCUAUGUACACAGAACUCUUACAAAUCAGUGAAGAGAAAGAAAACAAUAGAAAAAUGGGAAAAACCCAUGAGCUGGCAAUUGACAACAGAAAUGCAAAUGGUAAACAUGAAACCGUAAAUAU